rnacentral:rRNA from 1 species
UGCGGCGCACAUAAGACAUGCAAGUCGAACGGACUUAACCAUUAUUUUACUAUUGGAGCGGUUAGUGGCGGACUGGUGAGUAACACGUAAGCAACCUGCCUAUCAGAGGGGAACAACAGUUAGAAAUGACUGCUAAUACCGCAUAUGCCUUAAUUACCACAUGGUAAUAGAGGGAAAGGAGCAAUCCGCUGAUAGAUGGGCUUGCGUCUGAUUAGAUAGUUGGUAAGGUAACGGCUUACCAAGUCGACGAUCAGUAGCCGGACUGAGAGGUUGAACGGCCACAUUGGGACUGAGAUACGGCCCAGACUCCUACGGGAGGCAGCAGUCGGGAAUAUUGCGCAAUGGAGGAAACUCUGACGCAGUGACGCCGCGUGCAGGAAGAAGGUUUUCGGAUUGUAAACUGCUUUAGAUAGGGAAGAAACAAGACAGUACCUGUAGAAUAAGCUCCGGCUAACUACGUGCCAGCAGCCGCGGUAAUACGUAGGGAGCAAGCGUUAUCCGGAUUUAUUGGGUGUAAAGGGUGCGUAGACGGGAAUGCAAGUUGGUUGUGAAAUCCCUCGGCUCAACCGAGGAAUUGCAACCAAAACUAUAUUUCUUGAGUGCUGGAGAGGAAAGUGGAAUUCCUAGUGUAGCGGUGAAAUGCGUAGAUAUUAGGAGGAACACCAGUGGCGAAGGCGACUUUCUGGACAGUAACUGACGUUGAGGCACGAAAGUGUGGGGAGCAAACAGGAUUAGAUACCCUGGUAGUCCACACCGUAAACGAUGGAUACUAGGUGUAGGGGAUGAAUAAUCUUCUGUGCCGUCGCAAACGCAGUAAGUAUCCCACCUGGGGAGUACGGCCGCAAGGUUGAAACUCAAAGGAAUUGACGGGGGCCCGCACAAGCAGUGGAGUAUGUGGUUUAAUUCGACGCAACGCGAAGAACCUUACCAGGGCUUGACAUAUACAUGAAAAUCUAAGAGAUUAGAUCCCUCUUCGGAGCAUGUAUACAGGUGGUGCAUGGUUGUCGUCAGCUCGUGUCGUGAGAUGUUGGGUUAAGUCCUGCAACGAGCGCAACCCCUGUUCUUAGUUGCCAGCAUGUAAAGAUGGGAACUCUAAGAAGACUGCCGGUGAUAAAUCGGAGGAAGGUGGGGACGACGUCAAAUCAUCAUGCCCUUUAUGUCCUGGGCUACACACGUACUACAAUGGCUGUAACAAAGGGAAGCGAACCCGCGAGGGGAAGCAAAACCCAUAAAAGCAGUCUCAGUUCGGAUUGAAGGCUGAAAUUCGCCUUCAUGAAGCCGGAAUUGCUAGUAAUGGCAGGUCAGCAUACUGCCGUGAAUACGUUCCCGGGCCUUGUACACACCGCCCGUCACACCAUGAGAGUUGGGGAUACCCGAAGCCUGUGAGCUAACUGUAAAGAGGCAGCAGUCGAAGGUAGAAUCAAUGAUU